CAGGUUGAGAAUAUUGCUCUAAAGGCACCUAAUUCCAUCUAAUCUUGAAAACUAAAAUGGCUCUGUCCUGGUUAGUACUUUGAUGGGAGACCACCAGCAAAUACCAAGUGUUGUUUCAG
rfam:Anolis carolinensis chromosome Tnknown cont2.37226, whole genome shotgun sequence.